UACGAAGGGGGCGAGCGUUGUUCGGAAUCACUGGGCGUAAAGGGCGCGUAGGCGGCCCUUCUUGUCGCGUGUGAAAGCCCCGGGCUCAACCUGGGAAUGGCGCGCGAGACGGGGGGGCUGGAGUUCGGGAGAGGAGCGUGGAAUUCCCAGUGUAGAGGUGAAAUUCGUAGAUAUUGGGAAGAACACCGGUGGCGAAGGCGGCGCUCUGGACCGAGACUGACGCUGAGGCGCGAAGCGUGGGAGCGAACAGG
rnacentral:rRNA from 1 species